AGGGUUGUAUUUAAUUAUAAUAUUUGAUUUGCAAACAAAAAGUGCUUAUACAGCCAACCUUA
rnacentral:tRNA from 1 species